AAUCUGAGGUUGAAAUAAUAAUAAACUGCACAAUUUAUUCCUUUUGAUAAGCAUGAAAAGAUGGGUCCCACAAUCCACAACACCACACAAGGGUUUAGUAUUAAGCUCAAAUUAGUGUCAUAAUAAUAUGAUGUACAAAUUGUAUUAAAUGACAAUCUUUAAAUCAGGUUACAAAGUCUUUCUAUUUUAUUGCAGAGCAGCACAAAAUGGUGAAGGUUCUGACAUCAGUUUUGUUUUCUGCAUUCAGGAAGAUGAUUUUCAUGCUGAAGACACUUUGCAUUAGCAGCUCAUACUUCAGUGCUCUGGGAGAGUUUAUAGCUCUGUCAGUUUAACACUUCAUGACUGAGAGCUGAUCUGAAUAACAACGGAAAACUUGUCCACAUAAUCUCAGAGCAAGUAUGAUUCUGAUAACUGUCUUCAUCUGGACACUCUUGGGAAUCCAAGGGGGUUUUGGAGAAAUCAUUCUCACUCAGUCUGGGUCUAAGUCAGUUCAGCUCAGUCAGACAGUCACCAUUGACUGCAAAUCCAGCUCUGAAGUUUACAGAUAUCCAGGAGGUUCUGUAUCUAAAGAUUACUACAUAUCCUGGUAUCUUCAGAAAGUUGGAGAAGCUCCUAAACUCCUGAUAUAUUACACCACAAUGAGACCUUCUGGAGUUUCCUCUAAAUUCACAGGUGAAGGCAGUUAUUCAGCUGGAGGGAAUGGUCUGGACUUCUCUCUGACCAUCACUGGAGUCCAGGCUGAAGAUGCUGGAGAUUAUUACUGUUUGAGCACACAUGAGAUCAGUGGUAGCUAUGUGUUCACACAGUGAAAAAGCAUCAUACAAAAACCUCCCUCAGUCACGCUGAACUGCUGCAGCUGCCGCAUACUGCUCGCAGAGUUCACGUUCUGUCAGUCUGACUAAAAGAUUAGGAGAAAAUGCUGAUAUGAACAAUGCGACUAAAUGUUUUAAUGAAUUUUCCAGUAAGAUAAAGGAGCAAAGGAAGAAAGCCUUUUUUGUGAUUUUUACAUAUAUAUUCCAUCAAUAAGAUGAGAUGCAAUCACAGGUAAGACUACUACCUAUCAAUAAUGUUAACAGCAUGUAUAAAUAAGUGGCAAUGUUAUGCAGAGGCAACAUAGUAAAGUGUUGAAGACUAAAAAGAGCUGAAGACCAAAUAAACCAUUAGGAUAAUGAGAACUUCUACUAGUGCUCCUAUAGGGUUCUAGUUUUAACAACAACAAUUCACAAUAACAUAUUUUAGAUUAAAGAGAUUUUUAAGCUUCUACAAAUUAUUUCAUGUGUUACUAUAUAUUUUACCUUAGAGCAGUUUCACAGUGAGUCUUUCAGAAGAAGAGCUGCCACCUCUGUUUUCUAUUUCUAUUAACUCAUUGAUUAGUCUGCAGCUUAUACUGACAGUCAUUGACAUAUCUGGUGCUUCGAUAAGGCUUAGAGUGAUGUUUUUUUCUCAUAAGAUUGGUCCAAUAUUUUGGAAAUCAUUGGUUGAAUCAUCGGUCAUUUCAUAAUUAUGCCGGGUCAGCAAGUCAGAUGGAUUCAGUUACUGCAGCUUAAUAUCUGAAAUGAAACUGUAAAACUGUACAGGUGCUCAUUUCAGCAGAAAGAUUUUCACAGAGCACAAUAUGAUAACAAAUGUACCAUUAAAAGUUUUGAAUUGUCAUUCAAAAGAUUGGAAUCACGGGGCGGCACGGUGGCACGGUGGGUGGCGCUGUCGCCUCAC